rnacentral:misc_RNA from 1 species
GGAUCAUAUAUCGCCAAAGAUGAUUUAAACGCGAGUAGAAUUUUACCUUUACUAUACGUGAAAAGGGGCGUCACUAGCUUAUAGUUCUCGGGAUACCUGAUGGUAUACAGUUUUGUCCAAGAUGCUUUAACUCCAUAUUCCUUCAUUACCCACACAUCAGAGUGAUUUCUCUCAUCAUUACUAGAGAGGAACGAAAGAUCACCUUGCAACACUCCAAGCUUCAAUUCUUGUUCUUCUUUGCAGCUAGGCAGCUCCAACUUUCCCCAUUUCUCUUCAACCAAAUCAAUACACGAGAUGCCCCAACCACGUCUACGAUAAGUAAUCCAAUGAAGUUUACGAUGCACAAAUUUAGCAUCACCACAGUAAGUCACCCCAGGUUUAAAAUC